CUUUUCUCCAGAAAUCAUCUUCUAUACCAGAAGAUUUUGCAAAGAAAAUAGAACUGACAGAUAAAGUAUUAACAAAACUGAGAUAUGGUACGGAUGGGCUCCGGAGUUGUUCCACACCUUGGAAAACAUAGGCGCACACACACAGCCUGCACAAUUACAGCCCUAGAGAGCGGAGACUCUCAGAGGGAAGCCAGGGGCAGCGGGGCAUCCAGGAUAAGAUGUAUUAACCUAUCAAAGCAUUUGAAGGAAGCUUCCUCCCUCCCUUGCAAUAAUGAACAUUGGAUUCUGCUAAAAAUAUGAGAUGAGUUUCAAGUCACGAAAACGUAUUGCUGCUUAUGAUCACCAUCCCUCAAUAAGCAAUUUAUGGAAUAUUUCUUUAAAUGCUAUUUGAUUUGAUACUACCAUUUUUUCUUCCAAACAUAUUUUCUGAUGUUCUUAUUUAAUAAUGACAUUUCAGUACAAAGACAUAAAAUAUCCAAAUGUUUUUAAUCUUCAAGUAACCUGUGGUAAGUCUGCUAGCUAUAAAAUAAUAAUAAUGUUUUGGAUUUCUACAGCUAAAUUAAAGAAGAAACUACUCUAGGGGAUCAUUAUACUUAAUUUCACCUUGUACUGUCCUGAAAACAAAACACAAGACUUGAUGUGAACAUAGAAUAUAAGAUUUAAGAUUUUUUUUCAUUUAAGCAAAUAUACUUAAACUCCCUACAUUGGAGAAUUUAUCCUAAUUGCCAAGACAACUGUUAUAGAUAAUGAGCUAUAUUAUGAUGAACUGGCAUUUGUGUAGAUAGAAUUCUUUUGGAAAUGGAAAAAGAAGAAAAAGCUUAUAGCAAAUGCAUUAUUGGAAAGUA